CAGUUUUGUGCGUCCCCGCCCCACCUGUAUGUUGGGGUGCAUGAAUUAUUUUGUUUAGGACCUCGGUUCUAUUUUGUUGGUUUUCGGAAUCUGAGGUAAUGAUCAAUGGGGACAGGCGGGGGCAUUCGUAUUGCGACGUUAGAGGUGAAAUUCUUGGAUCGUCGCAAGACGGACCGAAGCGAAAGCAUUUGCCAAGUAUGUUCUCGUCGAUCAAGAACGAAAGUUAGAGGUUCGAAGGCGAUCAGAUACCGCCCUAGUUCUAACCAUAAACUAUGCCUGCCAGCGAUCCGCCGAAGUUCCUCCGAUGACUCGGCGGGCAGCUUCCGGGAAACCAGAGCUUUUGGGUUCCGGGGGAAGUAUGGUUGCAAAGCUGAAACUUAAAGGAAUUGACGGAAGGGCACCACCAGGAGUGGAGCCUGCGGCUUAAUUUGACUCAACACGGGAAAACUCACCAGGCCCGGACACCGGAAGGAUUGACAGAUUGAGAGCUCUUUCUUGAUUCGGUGGGUGGUGGUGCAUGGCCGUUCUUAGUUGGUGGAGCGAUUUGUCUGGUUAAUUCCGAUAACGAACGAGACUCUAGCCUACUAACUAGGCGUACCCGGUAUCCACAAUCGUGCUACCGGCGAUCAAAUUUCUUCUUAGAGGGACAGGCGGCUUCUAGCCGCACGAGACUGAGCAAUAACAGGUCUGUGAUGCCCUUAGAUGUCCUGGGCCGCACGCGCGCUACACUGAAGGAAUCAGCGUGUCUUCCCUGUCCGAAAGGACCGGGUAAUCCGCUGAACCUCCUUUGUGCUAGGGAUUGGGGCUUGCAAUUGUUCCCCAUGAACGAGGAAUCCCAGAAGCGCAGUCUUUCCA
rnacentral:rRNA from 1 species